AGACCCGAAACCCGGUGAUCUAGCCAUGGGCAGGUUGAAGGUUGGGUAACACUAACUGGAGGACCGAACCGACUAAUGUUGAAAAAUUAGCGGAUGACCUGUGGCUGGGGGUGAAAGGCCAAUCAAACCGGGAGAUAGCUGGUUCUCCCCGAAAGCUAUUUAGGUAGCGCCUCGUGAAUUCAUCUCCGGGGGUAGAGCACUGUUUCGGCUAGGGGGCCAUCCCGGCUUACCAACCCGAUGCAAACUGCGAAUACCGGAGAAUGUUAUCACGGGAGACACACGGCGGGUGCUAACGUCCGUCGUGAAGAGGGAAACAACCCAGACCGCCAGCUAAGGUCCCAAAGUCAUGGUUAAGUGGGAAACGAUGUGGGAAGGCCCAGACAGCCAGGAUGUUGGCUUAGAAGCAGCCAUCAUUUAAAGAAAGCGUAAUAGCUCACUGGUCGAGUCGGCCUGCGCGGAAGAUGUAACGGGGCUAAACCAUGCACCGAAGCUGCGGCAGCGACACUCAGGUGUUGUUGGGUAGGGGAGCGUUCUGUAAGCCUGCGAAGGUGGCCUGUGAGGGUUGCUGGAGGUAUCAGAAGUGCGAAUGCUGACAUAAGUAACGAUAAAGCGGGUGAAAAGCCCGCUCGCCGGAAGACCAAGGGUUCCUGUCCAACGUUAAUCGGGGCAGGGUGAGUCGACCCCUAAGGCGAGGCCGAAAGGCGUAGUCGAUGGGAAACGGGUUAAUAUUCCCGUACUUGGUGUUACUGCGAAGGGGGGACGGAGAAGGCUAUGUUGGCCGGGCGACGGUUGUCCCGGUUUAAGCGUGUAGGUGUGUGUUCCAGGUAAAUCCGGUUCACUUUAACACUGAGGCGUGAUGACGAGGCACUACGGUGCUGAAGCAACAAAUGCCCUGCUUCCAGGAAAAGCCUCUAAGCAUCAGGUAACAUCAAAUCGUACCCCAAACCGACACAGGUGGUCAGGUAGAGAAUACCAAGGCGCUUGAGAGAACUCGGGUGAAGGAACUAGGCAAAAUGGUGCCGUAACUUCGGGAGAAGGCACGCUGACACGUAGGUGAAGUGAUUUACUCAUGGAGCUGAAGUCAGUCGAAGAUACCAGCUGGCUGCAACUGUUUAUUAAAAACACAGCACUGUGCAAACACGAAAGUGGACGUAUACGGUGUGACGCCUGCCCGGUGCCGGAAGGUUAAUUGAUGGGGUCAGCGCAAGCGAAGCUCCUGAUCGAAGCCCCGGUAAACGGCGGCCGUAACUAUAACGGUCCUAAGGUAGCGAAAUUCCUUGUCGGGUAAGUUCCGACCUGCACGAAUGGCGUAAUGAUGGCCAGGCUGUCUCCACCCGAGACUCAGUGAAAUUGAACUCGCUGUGAAGAUGCAGUGUACCCGCGGCAAGACGGAAAGACCCCGUGAACCUUUACUAUAGCUUGACACUGAACAUUGAGCCUUGAUGUGUAGGAUAGGUGGGAGGCUUUGAAGUGUGGACGCCAGUCUGCAUGGAGCCGACCUUGAAAUACCACCCUUUAAUGUUUGAUGUUCUAACGUGGACCCGUGAUCCGGGUUGCGGACAGUGUCUGGUGGGUAGUUUGACUGGGGCGGUCUCCUCCUAAAGAGUAACGGAGGAGCACGAAGGUUGGCUAAUCCUGGUCGGACAUCAGGAGGUUAGUGCAAUGGCAUAAGCCAGCUUGACUGCGAGCGUGACGGCGCGAGCAGGUGCGAAAGCAGGUCAUAGUGAUCCGGUGGUUCUGAAUGGAAGGGCCAUCGCUCAACGGAUAAAAGGUACUCCGGGGAUAACAGGCUGAUACCGCCCAAGAGUUCAUAUCGACGGCGGUGUUUGGCACCUCGAUGUCGGCUCAUCACAUCCUGGGGCUGAAGUAGGUCCCAAGGGUAUGGCUGUUCGCCAUUUAAAGUGGUACGCGAGCUGGGUUUAGAACGUCGUGAGACAGUUCGGUCCCUAUCUGCCGUGGGCGCUGGAGAACUGAGGGGGGCUGCUCCUAGUACGAGAGGACCGGAGUGGACGCAUCACUGGUGUUCGGGUUGUCAUGCCAAUGGCACUGCCCGGUAGCUAAAUGCGGAAGAGAUAAGUGCUGAAAGCAUCUAAGCACGAAACUUGCCCCGAGA
rnacentral:rRNA from 1 species